UGAGUACGAGAUGCUACGGCAUCGAAGCAGUCUACGUCAUACUUCCAAGAAAAGCUCGCACUGUCAAAAACAAAUUAAUGCCUGUACCAUAACCGACACAGGUGGGUAGGUAGAGUAUACUAAGGGGCGCGAGAUAACUCUCUCUAAGGAACUCGGCAAAAUAACUCCGUAACUUCGGGAGAAGGAGUGCCUUUUUAAGGCUGCAAUAACCAGAUCCAAGCAACUGUUUAUCAAAAACACAGGUCUCCGCUAAGUCGUAAGACGAUGUAUGGGGGCUGACGCCUGCCCAGUGCCAGAAGGUUAAAGAAGUUGGUUAGCCCUGCGAAGCUGAUGACUGAAGCCCUGGUGAACGGCGGCCGUAACUAUAACGGUCCUAAGGUAGCGAAAUUCCUUGUCGGGUAAGUUCCGACCCGCACGAAAGGCGUAAUGAUUUGGAUACUGUCUCGGAGAGGGACUCGGUGAAAUAGACUUGUCUGUGAAGAUGCGGACUACCUGCACCAGGACAGAAAGACCCUAUGAAGCUUUACUGUAACUUGAGAUUGAAAUUGGACUUUAUUUGCGCAGUAUAGGUGGGAGGCGUUGAAAAUAUUCUUGCGGGAAUAUCGGAGCCAUCAGUGAGAUACCACUCUUGUAAUGUUAGAUUUCUAACUUUGUAUCAUUAUCUGGUCAAAGAACAGUCACAGGCGGGCAGUUUGACUGGGGCGGUCGCCUCCCAAAUGGUAACGGAGGCGCACAAAGGUUUCCUCUGAACGGGUAGAAAUCGUAUCUAGAGUGUAAAGGCAUAAGGAAGCUUGACUGUGAGACUUACAAGUCGAGCAAGGACGAAAGUCGGUCUUAGUGAUCUGACGGUGCUGAGUGGAAAGGCCGUCACUCAACGGAUAAAAGUUACUCUAAGGAUAACAGGCUGAUCUCCCCCAAGAGUUCACAUCGACGGGGAGGUUUGGCACCUCGAUGUCGGCUCAUCGCAUCCUGGGGCGGUAGUACGUCCCAAGGGUUGGGCUGUUCGCCCAUGAAAGCGGUACGCGAGCUGGGUUCAGAACGUCGUGAGACAGUUCGGUCCAUAUCCGGUGUAGGCGUUAGAAUAUUGAGAGGAGCCUUCUUUAGUACGAGAGGACCGAGAAGGACAUACCUCUGGUGUACCAGUUAUCGUGCCAACGGUAAACGCUGGGUAGCUAUGUAUGGAGUGGAUAACCGCUGAAAGCAUCUAAGUGGGAAGCCCACCUCAAGAUAAG
rnacentral:rRNA from 1 species